UACGUAGGGUGCAAGCGUUAAUCGGAAUUACUGGGCGUAAAGCGUGCGCAGGCGGUUGUGCAAGACCGAUGUGAAAUCCCGGGCUUAACCUGGGAAUGGCAUUGGUGACUGCACGGCUAGAGUGUGUCAGAGGGGGGUAGAAUUCCACGUGUAGCAGUGAAAUGCGUAGAGAUGUGGAGGAAUACCGAUGGCGAAAGGCAGCCCCCUGGGAUAACACUGACGCUCAUGCACGAAAGCGUGGGGAGCAAACAGG
rnacentral:rRNA from 1 species